rnacentral:rRNA from 1 species
ACACAAGAACGCGUGGAGCAUGUGGCUUAAUUUGACUCAACGCGGGAAAUCUUACCGGGUCCGGACACACUGAGGAUUGACAGGCAAUAUUAAUACUUUGCUUCGGCAUUGUAUUAUGUUAAAUAUGCUAGUCCUUUCAUGAUUAUGUGAUAGGUGGUGCAUGGCCGUUCUUAGUUCGUGGAGUGAUCUGUCUGCUUAAUUGCGUUUCACUAAGGGCCUAUAAAUUUACGUAUGUUGUAUCGCACUUUGACCCCUUUCUUUAAUUAGAAAGCGCGUGUCUUAGUUUCGCUUUGCUCAUACAAUUAGGUCCUGAAAGCAACGAACGUGACCGCAACCUCUUGUUGCCUUUAUACCAAACAUGUUUAUUCAUUUUUUAAUGUUCAUUCAUGAAAAAAGGCUUUUUAAACUAGAGGGACCGCUGUUACUUUCUUAAACCAGAGGAAGGUUGCGGCAAUAACAGGUCUGUGAUGCCCUUAGAUGUUCCGGGCUGCACACGUGCUACAAUGAUUAUUGCAGUGAGCAUCUCAUUUUUACACACCGCAUGCGCGAGUCCAUUUAUUCACCUUCGGGUGUUUUAAAUGUGUACCUCUGCGCGCGGUAAAGCCUGCUUCGAAAGUAAGUGGGUAAUCAAUUAGAAGUAAUGAUUUCCUUUUUUAGCACACAUAUAUACGGCGUCUAUGCCCGGGUUACCUUGUUGUAGCUUUUGUGUGUAUAGAUGUUUUUUCCGUAUGUGCGAUUGUCAAUUCAUAGGUGGGGACAGACCAUUGUUAAUUGUUGGUCUCGGUCUUAACUAGGAAUGCCUUGUACGGGUCUUUGGUUCAACAAACCACCCGGAAUACGUCCCUGCCCUUUGUACACACCGCCCGUCGCUCUUACCGAUGGACUUCUCUGUGAGUUUGAGGGACUGGGAACGCAGGAAUUUAUUUCUGCACACCUAUGGAAACUUAAACGAACAGUGUGGUCUAAAGGAAAGAGAAGUCGUAACAAAGGCAUA